GGGUCGCGGACAGUGCCUGGUGGGUAGUUUGACUGGGGCGGUCUCCUCCCAAAGAGUAACGGAGGAGCACGAAGGUUGGCUAAUCCUGGUCGGACAUCAGGAGGUUAGUGCAAUGGCAUAAGCCAGCUUAACUGCGAGACGGACAGGUCGAGCAGGUACGAAAGUAGGUCAUAGUGAUCCGGUGGUUCUGAAUGGAAGGGCCAUCGCUCAACGGAUAAAAGGUACUCCGGGGAUAACAGGCUGAUACCGCCCAAGAGUUCAUAUCGACGGCGGUGUUUGGCACCUCGAUGUCGGCUCAUCACAUCCUGGGGCUGAAGUCGGUCCCAAGGGUAUGGCUGUUCGCCAUUUAAAGUGGUACGCGAGCUGGGUUCAGAACGUCGUGAGACAGUUCGGUCCCUAUCUGCCGUGGGCGUUGGAUGAUUGAAGGGAGUUGCUCCUAGUACGAGAGGACCGGAGUGAACGAACCUCUGGUGUUCGGGUUGUCACGCCAGUGGCACUGCCCGGUAGCUAAGUUCGGAAUCGAUAACCGCUGAAAGCAUCUAAGCGGGAAGCGAGCCCUGAGAUGAGUCAUCCCUGACCCCUUGAGGGUCCUAAAGGGCCGUUGGAGACCACAACGUUGAUAGGUGGGGUGUGUAAGCGCGGCGACGUGUUGAGCUAACCCAUACUAAUUACCCGUGAGGCUUAACCAUACAACACCCAAGAAGUGUU
rnacentral:rRNA from 1 species